AGAGAAGGAGCCCUCCGACUCCACUGUCAGACCAGCUGCCAUCCUCACCUGUUAGGCCUCCCUUGCCCUGGAAGCCAAGGGAAAGCCAGGGUUUGAGCAACUUGAGGGCCUUUUCCAUUCCAAGGGGUGACCUUUCUACUGCGCCACCCUGAGAGGACAACUCAACUGGUUCUACCUUUCACUGCCAAGACACGUGAUGUAGUCUGGGGAAUCUGAACUGCUUUUGACUGUACAAAGGAAGGCUCCUUUUUCUGCUGACAGAAGAUCCCAACUGAAAGCCUCCACUGACUUUGGAUCAGGCCCCAGCUGUCUGGCCCCUGCUGAGGGUGACAUUAAUGCAUCUCUGUAGGUCAGAUGGCAGAAGGGAACUUAAAAAACCCUCCAAAAGCCUCUUUUCUUGAAGGCGUUUUUGGUUUGGAUAAGGAGGCAGAGGAGGCUGACCUGGCCAUGAUCUUUAUCUACCUGCUACCAAUUGAAUGCUGCUUUUGAAACAGAUGAGACAAAAUGUUGUUAAUGGUUAAACUGGAAUGUGGAGACCAUUAUCUACUUUGGGAACAAUCUUCUGUUUGUUUUUAGGAUUGGUUCUGUAUUUGGGUCAAGUGAAAGUAGCUUAAAAGUGUAGUAAUUAUUAAUCAUUUUCAUUCUUAGCCCAAUAACUUAUCAUGUGUACAUGUGAUGCUAUGUACUUUUUAUAUGGCCAAAUCCUUAAAUUCUUAUAGUCACUCAUCACUGAGCAUCUUCCCAACUAGAAUGAAUAUAAUUUCACCCCACAACUCUGGUUAUUGGGUGGGGAAUGUUUUUCUGAGACCAUGAAUUCUGCUGAACCAAUGUCUAUAGAAGCCGGUGCUAGCAUGGGUAUCCUCAUGUUUAAAAGGUAACCAUGUAUUCCAUUAACACUGUAGUAUGUAAUCCCUUAGGUGCAUUUGGAAAUGUUACUUGUAAUGCUUUGGUUUAUAUUAAUCUUUGUGGCAAUGAUCCUUGGUAUC